GGUUAACGCUGGCGGUAUGUCUAAUACAUGCAAGUCGUGCGACUCGCUUCGGCGAGGAGCGGCGAACGGGUGAGUAACACGUUGGAACCUACCCCGAACUCAGGGAUAACCCGCCGAAAGGCGUGGCUAAUACCGGAUAGUCCCGCAAGGGUAAAGCUUUUGCGGUUCGGGAGGGUCCUGCGGCCUAUCAGCUUGUUGGUAAGGUAAUAGCUUACCAAGGCUAUGACGGGUAGCUGGUCUGAGAGGACGACCAGUCACAAUGGGACUGAGACACGGCCCAUACUCCUACGGGAGGCAGCAGUAAAGAAUCUUCCGCAAUGGGCGAAAGCCUGACGGAGCAAUACCGCGUGAGCGAUGAAGGCCGAAAGGUUGUAAAGCUCUUUUCUGAGAGAAGAAUUCUGACGUACCUUAGGAAUAAGCACCGCUAAC
rnacentral:rRNA from 1 species